GGAGUAACACGUGGGUAACCUGCCCAUAAGACUGGGAUAACUCCGGGAAACCGGGGCUAAUACCGGAUAACAUUUUGAACCGCAUGGUUCGAAAUUGAAAGGCGGCUUCGGCUGUCACUUAUGGAUGGACCCGCGUCGCAUUAGCUAGUUGGUGAGGUAACGGCUCACCAAGGCAACGAUGCGUAGCCGACCUGAGAGGGUGAUCGGCCACACUGGGACUGAGACACGGCCCAGACUCCUACGGGAGGCAGCAGUAGGGAAUCUUCCGCAAUGGACGAAAGUCUGACGGAGCAACGCCGCGUGAGUGAUGAAGGCUUUCGGGUCGUAAAACUCUGUUGUUAGGGAAGAACAAGUGCUAGUUGAAUAAGCUGGCACCUUGACGGUACCUAACCAGAAAGCCACGGCUAACUACGUGCCAGCAGCCGCGGUAAUACGUAGGUGGCAAGCGUUAUCCGGAAUUAUUGGGCGUAAAGCGCGCGCAGGUGGUUUCUUAAGUCUGAUGUGAAAGCCCACGGCUCAACCGUGGAGGGUCAUUGGAAACUGGGAGACUUGAGUGCAGAAGAGGAAAGUGGAAUUCCAUGUGUAGCGGUGAAAUGCGUAGAGAUAUGGAGGAACACCAGUGGCGAAGGCGACUUUCUGGUCUGUAACUGACACUGAGGCGCG
rnacentral:rRNA from 1 species